rnacentral:lncRNA from 1 species
UUUUUUAAUGUAAAAGUUGUGUAGGUUUUUCAAUCUGAUAAUCUAUAUUAUUUCUUUCUAUAAUAUUUAAAUUGUUAAGAUAUGUUAAUCACCCACAAUAAUGCUCUCCCAUUGUUCAAAUAUGUUAUUCACUCCCCCCUUUCAUCAUCCCCUUCCUUCCCUCUCGUUGCCACCGUCUUCAUCCAAUUAUGGCCACAAAGUCGGUGCCAGCACAAGAAACCACCAUGACCGCCCAUGCAAUCAAUAUUACAAAAGGUGGUUACUGCUUGGAAAGUAAAACCUUUCAAAGUCUGAGACCACCUGCUACUCCACCACCACCGCAUCAACCUCUCUCCAUAACCCAAUUCAUCCUUUCUCUCCUCCACUCAUCUGCCAUCCCAACGACCCAAAAAAACAACCUUAUCAUGCCCUCCACAGGUCAAUCUCUCACUUACUCUGAAGCCAUCAACCAGAUUUACUCUCUUUCUUCAUCUCUCAAGAUUCUCUACAAUUUAAACAAGAACGAUGUCUCUUUUAUCCUCUGCCCGCCCUCUCUCCACGCCCGUUAUUAUCUCUCUCUUCUUUACCUUGGUGUCACCAUCUCUCCUGCCAACCCCCUAAGUUCGAACUCCGAGCUGACUCACCAAAUCCAACUCAGCAAACCCAAGAUCGCAUUUGCUACUUCCCAAACUGCCCACAAGCUUCCCUCUUUUCCCCUUGGCACAAUCCUCAUUGACUCCCCCGAGUUCAUCUCCCUGUUGACUCAAAUCUCCAAACAAGACUGCUACCAUCCACGUUGAAGUGAGUCAAUCCGACAUGCAGCGAUCCUAUAUUCCUCGGGAACAACUGGGAGAGUCAAAGGCGUGUCAUUGACUCACAGGAACGUAAUAGCUCAAUCGCGGCUUUUCAAAGAGCUCUGCAGACUUGACCACAUGCGGUUUUGUUGCUUACGCUGCCUUUGUUUCAUGUUUUUGGCUUCUUUUUGUUGAUAAAUGAAUUUCGGUGGGGGAAGACGUUGGUUUUGACGGAGAGGUUUGAUUUUGAGCAAGUGUUGAAGGUUGUAGAGAGAUAUAGAGUGAGUGACAUGCCUGUGUCGCCAACCGUUAUUCUGACAUUACUGAAAUCGGAUUUGACUAACAAGUAUGAUUUGAGUUCAUUGCGGAGGUUUAGUUGCGGUGGCGCGCCAUUGAGUAAAGAGGUUGCAGAAAAAUUCAAAAGGAAAUUUCCACAGGCUGAAAUAAUGCAGGCAAGCCUUUUUUAUCCUUCCCUUUAACUGAACGCAGGAUUUUCAUUUUUCACAAAGUUAAUGUAUAGCACCAUUAUUGUUGUUGAGUAAGUAAUGAUCGUGUCUUAUACUUGAGAUUUAGGGGUAUGGAUUAACGGAGGCUGGAGCUGUAUCUAGGCUAAUAGGACCUGAAGAAUGUAACCAGCAUGCUUCUGUUGGUAGGUUGUUUAUAAAUAUGGAAGCCAAAAUUGUUGAUCCUCUAACUGGAGAGGCCUUUGGUCCUGGCAAGAGAGGGGAGCUUUGGUUGCGAGGGCCAUCCAUUAUGAAAGGUAGGGAACACUGACUUGUUGGUUGUUACCUUUCUUCUUUAAUGUGUUUCGAAGUGUAGUUCUUUUGGUGUGGAAAAAAAAAGAGCUGCAGUAUACUGGACUGCACUCCAACAGUACAGCGUUUCGCUGUGGUUUUACACUACAAAGAGCAAUAUGUCAGCGUUUUGCUGACAUAUUUUGAAUCUGCCUCAAUUAAUAAGAAUAUGCAUCUUGUACCAUUGCAUAGCCUUAAUGGUUCUUUGCUGCUUUGUCGUUUGAUUCUGUAAUUGGAACCCGGCAUGCAUUCAUACAACCCUUCUCAGCUUUUCUUAAGCCACCUGCCAUGUAUACAUGUAUGCAACUGCUCUGACAUUGUUUGGGAUGGACCAGAGAUACCUUCUAGGCAAAUGGCAAUGCAUAUAUAUUUGCAUCAGGGUAUUAAUAUUGAAAUGUGCUGCAGGUUAUCUGAAAGGGGAAGAAUGUUCCAUGACUAGGAAAUCAAUGGUCUAUACUGUGGAAGAUCUUAGUUUGGCCGCAUAAAUACCUCAGCAUCUUCUUCCUAGUAGAAUUCUCUAAUAUUCUGUUCUUGAUGCUAAAAAUGAUGGUUUUAGUGCAGGUUAUGUAGGAGAUGAGAAGGCAACUGCCGAAACCUUGGAUUCAGAAGGGUGGUUAAAGACCGGGGAUCUUUGUUUCUUUGACUCCGAGGGCUUCCUCUACAUUGUUGAUAGGCUAAAGGAAUUGAUAAAGUACAAGGCAUAUCAGGUGAUCGAAUUAUCCGAUGCCCUUUCCGGUAUAAUUAAUAUUGACUUCAAUAAAUGUUAGGAUAGUAAAUCUCAUUCAAAUGUUAGAAAUAUUGUUGUCUUGUCACAUCUUUGAUAACUUGUAGGUGCCCCCUGUUGAGUUGGAACAAUUGCUGCUGUCUAAUCCUGAGAUUGCCGAUGCUGCUGUAAUUCCGUAAGUUGUCUCUUUUGAUUGAAUACAUAGCUCAUUUUUUUCGUUUCUUUGAGAUGUAAGCUGUACUGAUGCAUAGACAAGAAACCGGCGCGCAUUGAAUCAUAUGGAGAGAGAGAGAGAGAGAGAGAGAGAGGCAACAUGUUUGGUAUUCUUGAUCUUGUGUUGCUUUUUGGUAGUUUAGUGAACUGGGGAGAAGAUAUUCUUGAGGAAGCAAAAGAGAUUCUUCUGUUGGGAAUGACAAUGAGAGACUUUACUUUUUGAAAUCAUUAAUGGAUUGUUUUUGGUAUCUUGGAGCAGGUAUCCUGAUGAAGAGGCAGGGCAAAUCCCCAUGGCCUAUGUCGUGAGGAAACCAGGAAGCAGUAUUACUGAGGCUCAAAUCAUGGAUUCCAUUGCAAAACAGGCAAGCUUCUAGUUUUAAGUUUCAUUAUUUUUCGCUCUUUCGUAUUAAGAUGCAUGCACUUAGAAGGCAGGUCAAUGGAUCGAGUCCGCACAAAAUCUUGCUCUCGUUGCAUAAAAUGAUAGAAACAAUAAUUUAGCCCCGUUUUAAUUGAAGAAGCAUGUACUUUAAGGCAAUACAUGAAUUAUUGCAAACUUAUUACAAUAUAUUCACACAACCAACAACAAAAUUGAUAACGAAUUCAGAAAAACUGAGAUAAAUCUAAUAAAAAUAUGAUAUAAUUAAAAUAUAUUUCAAGACACCAAUAUUAUUGAAGUAACAAUUUUCACCCUACAAAUAUUAAUUUGCAAGCAAGAAGUCUAAAGAAAACUUCAUAAAACUAAUUAAUCUUCGAUAAAUCAAUUUAGUUUGUUAGAAAACUAAAAAAUAUAAAAAUCUCUCUCACACAAGCGAAAUAAAUUCAGAGUAUUUCUAUUCUUAAAAAUAAAACUGUAAUAUUAAUUGGUCAAACACACAUCCAAUUUAAAUAAAACACAAACUAAUUAAAAUAAAGUUUAAAAAUAAUAAAAAUAAAUAAAAUAAUAGUCUAAAAUUAUUUUUUACUUUUUAUUAUACAUGAUAGUGGGAAAUACACAAGAUAAAUAAUUGUUAAAGAAUUCUUACUAAACAAAAACUUGAUACCUUAUAAAAUAAAAAUUAAAUUUCUAUCAAUUAAUUCUUUUUAUUUAAGAUUUUAUCUUUAUAAAAAUAAGUAAAUCAAAGAUUACCACAUGGACUCCUUGUAAAAAUAUUUGAAACGCAGCAAUAGAAGGGCGAAGCGAGAAUCACAUCACAUAUGAAUUUUUUUUUUUUUGAUGACUCUUGGUGUCCGGGUCAACUUGCGCGCACCACAACUAAUCUCAGGAUCUACUGAACAUCCCGCAAGCCCAAUAGGCAGGUAAGGCACCGCGGGGGUGACAGGCUGGUACUCUUGAGAUUCGAACCCAGGACGUUUACAAAGAUAAUUGACCAAUGGGCUAGACCCUCGAGUAUAUCAGAUAUGAACUUUAUCUUGUCCUCGUGUUGCAUAAAAUGCACUCACCUGAGGCCUAUAAUUUCUUUCCACAGGUUGCACCAUACAGGAAGAUAAGACGAGUGGCUUUUACUGAUACGAUCCCCAGAUCUCCUGCCGGAAAGAUCUUGAGACGGCAGCUCAUCAAUCAUGCUCUCUCCGGUGCUCUGUAAAUUAUAAUUUAUUUGUUUUAAAAAAUGGGUUUGAGUUGUUCUGUAAUUACCUUUGGGAGCUGCAAAAAGUUUUCUAUGUUGAUUUCGUAACAGUUACUUACAAUUGUUAGAUAAUAAUAUGUAAAACAGUGAGAUAAAGUGAUUCCUUUUAAAAUAUUUUAUAUUUAAAAAUAUAUUAAAAUAAUUUCUUUAUUUUUAAAAUUUUAUUUUAAAAAUUAGCAUAUUAAAAUGAUUUCAAAAUUUUCAAAAAAAAUUAAUUUAAAUUUUCAAAAGCAUAAUAUCACCGCAACAAAUAAACAUACACUGAUAAAGUUUAUCUUAGGCCGCGUUUGGAAACGCGGUUUAAACUGUGUUCCCUCAAAAUUCAAAAUUAUUUUUUAUUAAAAAUUAUUUUUUUAUGUUUUUAGAUCGUUAUUUUGAUGUGUUAAUUUUAAAAAUAAUUUUUAAAAAAUAAAUAAAUAUUAUUUUUAUACAUUUAUAAGGAAAAAGGACUUUAAACCUAAUUGUUAGUACAAUUCCAAAUAGACUCUUAGGCCAUGUUUGUUUGUUGGAAUGUAGUUUCCUUUUGAAAAGUGAAUUAUUUUUUUAUGUUUAGUAGUGUAAUAGAAAAUAAGUUAAAAAAUAUUUUUUAGUGUUUGGUUAUGUUAUAGAAAAUGAGCUAGAAAAUAACUUAUUAAUGUUUUAUUUUUUUCAAGUUUAUUAAAAUAAUGAGAAACAAAUCUUACAAAUUAAAAAGUUUAUGAGAAUGAAAUCGAAAAAAAAUAUAAUUUCAUAAAUUAUCUCAAAUAAAAUAAAUAAUAAUCAAAAUAAUAGAGAUCAAAUCUAACAAAUAAAAAAAUAAAAUAUGAAGAAAUUAAAAUAAUAAUAAUUACCAUUUUAUAAAUUAUUUCAAAUAAAAUAAGUAACAAUCAAAAGAAUGAAGAUCAAAUUUGAUUGAUAAAAAAUUUCAAUUAAAAAAUGAUAAGGAAAAAGCAAAUAACAAUUAUAAAAAUAAGGACCAAAGUUAAUAUAAAAAUUAAAUUUAAGGGAUGAAAUUGAAAAAAAAAUCUUCAAAAAAAAUAUAUAUAUAAAAAUUAAAAGUUUGAGGACCAAAUUUGAUAUAAUUAGUAAAUAAUAUGAUAUUUCUAAAUUUUUCACAAGUUUCAAAAAGUGUUUUCCACCCAAAAUAAAAAAAAAAUACUUUUCUAAAAACCAAGCCAAAUUUUCAUUGAUUCAGUUGACUCAAGAUUCCAAAAAAAAAAAUUAGGUUAACACAAUAUUAUUUAAUUCAUUUAAAAAAAUUAGAAUUAAUUUAGAUGGAUCUGAAUUGAUUAUAACUCCCGAGUUUUAUUCCAAGUGAUUCCAGGUUAGGUUUUAAAGGAUUUAAUUUGUCGCUUCAUUGAUUAGAUUGUGUAAGGCUUUAUAAAAGAAUUAACAGUAUAAUUUUGUCCCUGUACUCUUGAGAUUUUCUUAACAUGGCCCCUUUAUAAUUAAUUUGAUUCAAGUCUUUAUUCCUAGGCUAAUAAUUUUUUUUAAGAAUACGGUAUAACAUGUGUUUUAAAGUUAAUUUAUUUUUGUGUUUCAAAAAUAUUUAAAAAAAAUUGAAUUUUUUUAUUUUUUUUAUUUACUUCAAAUUAUUUUGUUGUUGUUUUUAAAUCGUUUUGAUAUAAUGUGUCAAAAAUAAAUUUUUAAAAAUAAAAUUAUUUCGAUGAAUUCUCAAGUUAAAAACACUUUGAAAAGAUAUUUAAAAAAUAAUUUUGUAUUGUGAUUCUAAUUAAUUUAGAGCUUGUUUGGUAUUGUGGUAGUGGUUGCUUUUCAAAGUAUUUUUCACUUAAAAAUUCAUCAAAAUAAUUUUUUUAAAAAUUACCACAUCUUACCAAAUUAACAUGUAAGAAUUAUUUUUCCAUGAGAAUUUUUUUUUUUGAGAAUUCAUCUAAAUUUAAAGAAAAUAAUUACUGGUCCUUAAAAAAAAAAGGAAAACAAAAACAAGAAAUGAAAAAUAUUUUUUUAGGUAUAAAACCUCCUUUACGAUCAUUCCAUUCAUGUUCUCUGUUUUUUUAUAUAACUAAAAUAGUUAGAAAGUCAUUUUAGAAAUUAAGCUCUCUAAAAAAAUAUCUUCUCUGAAGUAAGAGUCCUUAAUGUAUUUUGUUUCAAAUAAAUUACUUUUAAUCAUUUUUAAAAUUCAUUUUGUAAUUAAUUAUUUUCUUAUAAUACAAAUUAUAAAAGGUAUACAUUUAAAGGAAUAUUGAAAAUUAACUAUUUUAUUUAGUAAAAAUCUUUUAAAAAUUAAUUCAUCACUAGUUGAAUGUGGAUCAAAGAUGCAUUAAAUUAAAGAACUUAAUGCAUACUCAAAUAAUAAUAAAAAAAUUCAUUGUAGUUGUCAUAGGUUUUUUUUCUUCAUUUCUUCUUCAUUUCUUCAUUUCUAUCUAAAAAUGGUGUUCUCAAAAUACAUAUUCACUAACCAUCAAACUAUAGCCAUUCUAACUAGGAGUGAUCAUUUUUCGUUCGGUUUAGUUUUUAUAUAAAAAAAAUAACCAACUGAAUUUUAAAAAAAAAAACCAAAACUGAACCGAAACCAAUUCAAACCGACUGGUUUGGCUCGGUUUUUCGGUUUUACUCGGUUUUGGCUUGGUUUUUUCCGGUUUGGCUUGGUUUUUUUCUGUUUUUUUUUGUCUGGAUUCGGUUCAAUUUGAUUUUUUCGGUUUCAGGCUUAUAAAACCGAAACCGAACCGGUCGGUUUUUUCAAAAUUUUAAUCAGUUUUUUUUCACGAUUCAAUUUUCUCAGUUUAAUCGAUUUUUCAAUUUUUUUACUCCUAAUUUUAACCCAUGCCUUCCCGACAGGGCUUAAUGAAAAUUGUACUCAGGGCACAAAAAUACUUCAAUGCUUGAAGUCUUUAUUACACAACAGAUUAUAUAUAAGAGACACAUUUUUAAAAGCAAUCAAUACAACAUUUCAAACAUACAUUCAAAAUAUUAAGUUAUGACUUCAAUGCUAACUGUUUUUCCUUUCACCUCCUUGCGAUGCAUGGUCUUUGAUGAAUUCCAGAUGAAAAUACCGACAGUACUACUCGCUAUAUGUACAAUUCCAGGUGAAAAUAUAUCUGACCUUCAAAAACAUGUGACUGGUCUUAGGUUCCCUGUAUUUUAUAUAUGUUUUUUCUAGCAUAUAUAUGUCGAAGAAGACAUUUAUAUUCCCACAUGGGUGGAACUGUGAAAAGGUCAACUGGGUCUGUUGGUUGAGUAUGUCGAUGGGGCUGUGUAUGAGGAGCAUAAAUGAUACUGAUCCAGAUUUACUGUGUUUUAGGACCUUAAUUACUGAAUAUUAAUGUUGAAUUUGGUAAAAAAGAUGUGUAUUUUAUGUAUUAUAUUAAUGAUUCUUUUGCUCUGUCAUGAUGUAAGACCUUAUUUUUCACAAUAGUGCAUAACGACACUAGCAUUGUUGUUUUGUUGAAGUUAACAGAUAAGGUAAGGGUUCUAUUAUGAACAUGGGUCUACGACUCUUUCUUGAAAGGCACGAGGGCGGCCUACUUUUUGGUGCGUGCAUGACGCUCGCUAGUCAAGUUUUUUUAAAAAAUAUUUAAUAAUUAUUAAAAUAAAAAAAUUCUUUUAAAUUAAGUUGAAAUUAUAUAUAAAAAAAACUAUGAUAAAAAUACCACAAAACCCUUAGAUGAUAGUAUUAUUUUGCUUAUCUAUCUUUAUUUUUUUUUAUAUAUAAAAAAGUAGGCUCAUAGCCUCCCUCGACCUCACAUACCUAGGCUUUAUUGUAACAUGCUUUUGAGUGUUUGUAUUGGCUAUUUAGGUUUUUUUGGUUUUUUUUUAUAUUUGGGGUAUUUUUAUCUAUUAAUGUGUGUUUUUGUUUUUUUUUUUGGGUUAUUUAGCCUUUUUUUUUUCAAUUCUAUCCUUUAAUAUAGGAUUUUUAUUUAAUUUUAUAUUUUAAUAUUGGGUUGAUGGUAAAUAAGUUUUUGUGUUGUUUAUAAUAUAAUAAAAGUUUUUUGACUUUUUUUAUCUUUUUUUUUUCAAUCCCAUCCUUUAUUAUGGCUUUUUAUUUUCUUAGAGUUUUUUUACCUUCCUUUUAAUUUAUUGUUUUUUUUUUCAUUUCAGCAUUUAAUAUAAAGUGUUUAUUUAAUUUUAUUCUCCAACAUUGGGUUGAUUUCUUUUUUUGGAUCUACCUAAUGAAAAAAUAAUAAUAAUAGAAGAAUUUCCAUACAAUUUAAUUUAAAACUCAUACUAAGUAAAUAAUCAAGUCAAGAUUUUUUCAAAUUUAAACUACUAUAUUUGAGUUUCAUAACAAUACUCUUGUUUUGUUUUUAUAUUCACUUAACACUUCCUUUAUAUGUCACAGUUUAAUUAGAGCUAGUUUGAACCUGAAAAUUUUUAAAUGAACUUAGUAAAUUUUUAAAUUUAAAUUAUUAUAUGGUAUGAUAUAUGAAUUGUUGAUGAUAAUAUUCUUGUUUUGGUUGACGUGUGUGGAUUAAACUUGGUGAUACAUGAAUAUAGAUACAUGAAUAUAGAUGACUCAAUGAAAAAAGAUUUAUUUAAUUAAUUGCAAUAUAUAGAGUUAUUCGACAAAAACAAAAAAAUGUGUUCUUCCUUUAUACAAUGUAUGUAUAGCGUGUUUUUUUUUUUUUUUUUUUUUACAACGCUUUGAAACCUAAAACGUAUUAAAAAAAAAUAAAUAUAAAUGGACAUACAAUACUCUUAAAAAAAAGUUUUCAAGCAAUAAUUAUUGAUAGAAAGGUAUGAAUAAUAUAAUCUAAAGUUUACUAAAAUAUUUAUAUUUAAUGACAAGAUAAACAUAAUAUUAUAUCAUAAAAAGGGAACUAUCAAUAUCAUAUUCUAUUAUAAAAAAAGAAUUAACUAAAGGUAGCAAUAUCUGUGCAAAUGAUUGUCUUUAACAUAAUAUAUCAACAUAAUAUUAUCUUACCAAGUAAAGAUAAACAAAUAUUUCAAAACAUUAAUGAAUAAUAAAUUUGGAUAUAGACUUAUAAUGAAAAGUUUGCCAAAUUAUAUAUUUCAAAUAUAAAAUCUAUUAUAAAGUAUGAGCACACAAAAACAUAAGACAAUAAUUUUAAGUUAAAUGAACCAAAAUAAAAAGAAAUGCAUAGUAAUAGUCAAAAUAUUGCAUGCACAUAAAAAAAAAUCCAAAAUAAAUAGUAAAAGUAUAGAACUGCCAAAAAGUAAUAUGGCAUAUUUAUCGAAGAAAAAAUGCAUGCAAAUCUAGCAACAAUGAUUGUAAAUAAUAAAAUACAUAUAACAUAUAAAAAUGUAUGAAACCAUAAAUAAAAAUUUAUGAAACCUAAUCUAAAAAAUAUAUGAAAAACUGAGUACAAAAUAAAUAUAAAAAAAUAUUUUAAGAAAAACAUUAUAAAAAGCACUAAAUUAUCAACACAGGAUUAAAAAGAAAACAUCCUCAUGCUAUUAGGGAUAAAAAUAAAAUGAUAAAAUCCUCAGGACCAAUUCAUAUGAUCUUAUUAUAAAAAUAUUCAAGAGAUUAUUGAAAAAAACAUUAAUAUUGAAAAAAAUUAUAUUUAUUUAAAGCAACAUUUAAAACCCAAACAAUGGAAUAAUGAGGGUGUCUUUGUUUUUAUUGUCCAUUUUGUAAAGUAUUUUUUGUUUAAAGAUGUAUUAAAAUAAUAUUAUUUUAGUAUUUUUUAAAUAAUUUUGAAGUAUUAAUAUAAAAAUUAAAAGAAUGUCAUUUUAAUAUAUUUUUCAUUUGAAAAAUAGUUUUACAAAAGUAUUCUAUAUCUAUUAAACACACUUUAAAGCCCUGUCUGUUUAAUGAAAAAUAAUUUUUUAAAUUUUAUUUUCUAAACAUUUUUGUUCUUGUUACCUUAAAAAAAAAUUGUCAAUAAAAAAUAUUUUUCAGACAAAUAAAAUUUAGUUUGUUUUUCAAGAAUUUUUUUAUUUUAUUUUGAAAGAAAAAUACUUUCUAGAAGUAAUGAAAGAUUCAAAAAUAUAUUGUUAUUUGUUGAUUAUAUCAUAUUUGGUCCUCAAUUUUUUUUAUUGUUAUAUAUUUAGUUUUGAUUAUUUAUUUAUUUUUUCAAUUUUCUCUUCGAAUUUGAUUUAAUUUAAUUAUUAUAUCAAUCUUGAUCCUAAUUUUUUUUUAUUUUUUUUUGUUAACUUAUUUUUUUAGUUGAAAUUCUUUAUCUAUGAGAUUUGGUUCAUAUUAUUUUGAUCAUUAUUUAUUUUAUUUAAAAUAAUUUAUGACAUUGAUUUUUUUUAAUUUCAUCGUUUUUUAACUUUUUUAUUUGUUAGAUUUGAUCUUUAUUUUUUUUGGUGCUAUUUAUUUUAUUUAAAAUAAUUUAUAAAACUAAAUUAUUUUUUUAAAUUUUAUUCUUCUUAAUUUUUUUUUAUCUAUCAUAUUUGGUUCAUGUUAUUUUAAUAAACAUAAAAAAAAUAAAAAUUAUUUAUUUAUUUUCUAUAAUAUAAUCAAACACUAAAAAAUAUUUUUCAAUUUUUUUAUAUAAUAUUAUUAAAUAUUAAAAAAUAUUUUCAUGAAAACUAAUUUUCACAGUCACAUUAAAAAAAGAAACCUUUAUACUUUCUAUGAACAACAGUUAGGGCAGCUCCAACGGAGCAGGCAAAUGAAAAGCCAAAUCUCAUUUGCCUGCUCUUUCUUCACUAUUUGUAUUCCAACCGGCAUGCUAAAUGGAAAGCCAAAAUGACUAUUUAUGCUCUCACUAGCCAUUUCUACAUUUAACUGUAGAAAUGGCCAGCAACUUUUUUUAUUAUUAUUUUUAUAAAAUAUAGAAUUUUUUUUCUAUAAAUACAUGAAGAAAAAACUUGUAGUUUAAAAUUUUUGUAUUGUGCCUCACCCUUCUCUCAAAUUUAAAAAUUAAAUGGUGGCGGUUAUUUUUUCAAAGCUUGAAUUUGAAUUUAAUUUUAAAAAAUUAAAUUUUUAACAGUAAUAUAUAAAACUGAAAAUUAAAAAUAUUCAUAUAAAUAAAUUUUAAGUUUAAUUUUAAAUUAUAUCUUUUAACUUUCAUAUUACUUCAUUAAAUUUUAUAUUAUUUUUAUAAAUUACUAUUAUUAAUUAUAUAAUUAAUAACAUUAUAAUUAUAUUAUAUAUAAAAUAUCUAAAUUAAUUACAUAAUUAUAUAAAAAUGAAUUUAGCAUGAAAUAUAUUAAAAUAUAAAUGAUUUUUUUAAAUGGCUUUUUAUCAUUAGAAUGUAUAUAAUCAAAAAAACUAUAUUUCUAUUAUUUAAAAAAUUAUUUUAUCAAUUUAGCUUUUUAAUUUGACUUUUUACAUUGAUGCUCUUAUGACAUUGACAAGCAAAAAAAUUCAGUAGAAAAAAGAAAUGUCUUCCCUUCCUUCGAAGCAGCCACCAUGCAAGGUUAUUAAGAAAAUAUAAAAAUAUAUAUAGUAAUAUAAUAAUAAUUAUUUUAAAAAAUAUAUUUUUAAAAUUUUUUAUUUAAAUAAUAUUUUUUAAAAAAAUAAUUUUAUUUUUGAUAUUAAUAUAUUAAAAAAAUUUAAAAAUAUAUAAAAAGUUUAAAUUUUUAUCGAAUAGCAUUUGAGUCACGUUAGCAAAUUCUACUACGAACUUAAAAAAAUCUUUCAUUUGAAUAGUAAUAAUAAUAAUAAUAACAGAAAACGACAGAUCUGCUCCCAAAUAUAUCUCUGACAGUUUCAAUCUUCCUCCUUCAGCCAAGACCACACACGCACAAACUGAAACAGAAACAGAGACACAAGCUUUGAAACUCUUCUUCCUCGUCCAUUUUGCUUGUCUUCCAUAUCAAGAUGGCAAUGGAGUCAAUCAACCCAAGAACUGGUUUCUGCCAACAAACCAAAACCUUUCACAGUCUCAGACCAUCUACUCCAUUUCCACCACCCCAUCAGCCUCUCUCCAUCACCCAUUUAAUCCUCUCUCUCCUCCAAUCCUCCACCGUCCCCACCGCUACCACCACCUACCUCACCAUCCCCUCCACAGGCGAAUCUCUAACUUACUCUCAAGCCAUCGACCAAAUUCACUCUCUUUCUUUAUCUCUCAAGAACCACUACUCUUUAAACAACAAGGACGUUGCUUUUAUCCUCUGCCCACCUUCCCUCCACGUCCCCGUUCUUUAUUUAUCUCUUAUGUACCUCGGUGUCAUCAUCUCUCCCGCCAAUCCGCUGAGUUCAGACUCCGAAUUGGCUGACCAAAUCCAACUCUGUAAACCCAAGAUCGCCUUUGCCACCUCCCAAACUGCCCACAAGCUUCCCUCCCUCCCUCUUGGCACCAUCCUCAUUGACUCCCCCGAGUUC